rnacentral:hammerhead_ribozyme from 1 species
AUCCAGCUGACAAGUCCCAAAUAGGACGAAACGCAUGUCAUGGAU